rnacentral:tRNA from 1 species
GAGGGUGUAGGUCAGUUGUAGAGCGUGUGCUUAGUAUGCGCGAGGUUCUGGGUUCAAUCCCCAGUACCUCCA